GAUGAAGAACGUAGCGAAAUGCGAUACGUAAUGUGAAUUGCAGAAUUCAGUGAAUCAUCGAGUCUUUGAACGCACAUUGCGCCCUCUGGUAUUCCGGAGGGCAUGCCUGUCCGAGCGUCAUUGCUGCCCUCAAGCACGGCUUGUGUGUUAGGCCCCGUCCUCCACUCGCGGGGGACGGGCCUGAAAGGCAGCGGCGGCACCGCGUCCGGUCCUCGAGCGUAUGGGGCUUUGUCACCCGCUCUGUAGGCCCGGCCGGCGCCUGCCGAUCAACCACACUUUUAUUCAGGUUGACCUCGGAUCAGGUAGGGAUACCCGCUGAACUUAAGCAUAUCAAUAAGCGGAGGA
rnacentral:misc_RNA from 1 species